rnacentral:rRNA from 1 species
UACGUAGGGUGCAAGCGUUAAUCGGAAUUACUGGGCGUAAAGCGUGCGCAGGCGGUUAUGUAAGACCGGUGUGAAAUCCCAGGGCUUAACCUUGGAACUGCAUUUGUGACUGCAUGGCUAGAGUACGGUAGAGGGGGAUGGAAUUCCGCGUGUAGCAGUGAAAUGCGUAGAUAUGCGGAGGAACACCGAUGGCGAAGGCAAUCCCCUGGACCUGUACUGACGCUCAUGCACGAAAGCGUGGGGAGCAAACAGG